AUAACUUUGAUAAAAUUCCAGAUUUAGAGAAGUUCAUUAAUUUUAUUAAAAAUCGCGCCAGUUUGCUUGAAACUAUCAAUUUGAGCCAAGUUAAACGUAGACAUAGUGAACCAAUCACUUCAAGGUCACGCGCAUUUGUUGCUAACACGAACGCACAAACAACAAAUUACUCGUGUCCUUUAUGUAAACAGAAUCACGCUAUUUACCAAUGCACAAAAUUCAAAUCUUUAUCUGUUCACGCUAAAAUCAAUAAAGUAAAACAAUUAAAACUUUGUCUCAACUGCUUGCGUCACGGGCCUGACGUUAACAAAUGUAGGUUCGGUUCAUGUAGGAUUUGUUCUAAGCGACAUAACACGAUGUUACAUACAGAGGAACAGUCACAGGUUGAGCCUAAGGGUUCCGCACCCUCUAACAUUUCGUCCCACAGCGACAAAGGUGUCACGUUAGCUACGCAAGAGGUCAUUGAACCCGAGUGCUAUGAUAAUGACUCGAGUUCUGAUCAUGAUUAUGACGAUACGGCGGAACAAACUGAAGUUGUAUUGUCUUCCACUCACAACUGCUGUGUCCUGUUGUCUACAGUCCUCGUUGACGUGGUUGACGGCAAUGGCAUCCGUCACACUGUCCGUGCUUUACUGGAUAACGGUAGCACGUCCAAUUUUAUAACUAAGAAGUUACUUAAUAAAUUAAAUAUUCCCCAUUAUUCAACUUCGACAGCCGUUGAAGGAUUAAGUCGCGACUCAAUUCGCAUUCACUCCCGUUCCAAUGUAACAUUGUUUUCACGAACUGAAAAAUAUAGUACAAAAAUUAAUUGUUUCGUUAUUCCUCGCAUUACUCAGAUGUUGCCCACAACUUACUUUGAAAUUCAAUCUUUAAAUAUUCCUAAAAAUAUUAAAUUAGCUGAUCCAACCUUUAACACACCUUCUGACAUUGAUAUGUUACUCAGCGCUGAUGUUUUUUGGAACGUAUUAUGUAACGAACGUAUUUCUUUAGGAAAAAAUAAACCGAUUCUCAACAACACUAAGCUUGGUUGGCUGGUGUCAGGUGCGAUGCAGUCGCAACAGUUGAAUAAUAAUAUUCAAUCUACGCACAUGUCUACAGUCCAUUGCCAUUUCAUAAACGAGGUUGAGCUACAACAUAAAUUAGAUAGGUUUUUUGAAUUAGAAUCAGUUCCAUCACCCCGUAAAACUACUAAUCAAGAAAAUCAUUGCGAGAUUCAUUUCAGUCAAACAACAACUCGACAAACUGACGGUCGAUUUGUUGUAGAAGUUCCAAUGCAACAUUCACCUGAAUUGUUAGGUGAAUCAUAUGAACAAGCUUUCAAUAGAUUUCAGUCUUUAGAACGAAAACUAGCUCGUUAUCCAUUACUUAAACAAAAGUAUUCUGAUUUUAUUCAGGAAUAUAUUGACUUAGGUCACAUGUCAUUAAAUACAGAUAGCAAAAAUGAUAAGUAUACAUACGUACUUUCUCAUCACGGCAUAUUAAAGGAAUCUAGCCUCACAACGAAAUUGAGUGGUUCUCAGAUAUGGUUUAGUGGCCCGUCAUUUUUAAUACAGUCGGAAUCUCAAUGGCCUACUCAACGCAACUACAUGCCCAGCUCUUUGCCAGAGAUAAAAAUGCAAAGUUGCCACUGAACAAAAUAACUACACUCAAAAUUACUCAAAUUUUGCUAAAUUGAAUCGAAUCACUGCAUACUUAUUACGACUCAUAAAUAAUUGCCGAAACCCAAGAAAUAGAUUCACUGGUCAUUUAACAAUAAACGAAUUAAACUCUGCCACGCUUACUUUAUGUAAAAUAGUACAGUUGGAUGCAUUUUCACAUGAGCAUAAUAUUUUAACUAAAAAUAAACAACUGCCAGUUAAAUCUAAAAUUUUGAAUUUAAAUCCUUUCAUGUCAAAUGAAAACUUAAUUCGUGUAGGUGGAAGGUUGUCAAAUUCCAACUACGACUAUGACACAAAGCAUCCCAUCUUGCUCCAUGCAUCUCACCACGUUACUAGGUUGUUAUUUAGACAUUAUCACAAAAUACUUAUGCACGCAGGUCCUCAGUUGAUGUUAUCUAUUUUAAGACAUAAAUUUUGGAUAAUAGGAGGUCGCAAUUUGUCAAGAAAAAUAACGCAUGAGUGUCAUGCCUGCUGUAGAUUUGCUGGAAAGUCCAUACAGCCUAUAAUGGCUGACUUGCCUAGAGAACGACUUCACAGCCAAUUUCCAUUCUCCAAUGUAGCAGUAGAUUAUGCUGGCCCUAUUAUGCUAGCGGACAGAAAAGGUAGAGGAUGCAAAUUGAUCAAAUCAUACAUUUGUGUAUUUGUUUGCCUAGCUGUGAGAGCAGUACACCUGGAAUUGGUAACCGAGUUAAGUACUGAAGCAUUUUUGGCUGCUUUAAAUCGAUUUGUAGCUCGCAGAGAUGGAUCUGGAAGAAACGACCAGAAUAUGCGCCCUGCCUCGAUAUCGGAGAGCUCAGAUCCUGACUCAGCACUUCUGGAAUAGAUACUACAUGGAAUAUAUUUCAGAUUUACGAAAGAGGCUGAAAUGGAAGCGCAGCAAUGGAGGAGAAUUGCGCACUGGAGACCUGGUGGUGGUAAAGGACGACCGGCUACCACCUAACCGCUGGCUGCUCGGACGUGUCACCCGCCUCUACCCUGGCUGCGAUGGCAUCGCACGCGUAGCAGACGUCACCACCGCAACUGGAGUGCUGAGAAGAGCAUACAAUAGAUUAUGCUUGCUGCCAACCGAGGAUAUUUUGGAACUAGACGUUCCAACCCGGGGAACU